CAGCUUUGGGAUCCCACAGUGGCUCCUCUCUGCUCUGCGUUAUCACAGCACACUUCCAUGAGCCGCUCUCCUGGAUGGACAGAACGGUGGCCACCUAGGAAGAAAAGCCUCCCUCUACCAUCUGCACAUCCACAGAUCAGCAACAGUCGUGCCUUCAAAGCCUCAGUGCUAGGGAUUGAGUCCAAGGCCUUGAGCAUGGCAGGCAAGUGCUCUUCCAUUGAGCGACAUCCUCAGCCCUUUUGACGAAAAUAAAGCAAAAAAUCAGUAGGAUCAAGAUGACUCCAAUCCCGGAGAACCAACUUGUGUGGAUCCCUGUGAUGGACUCGGAUAGAGAAUAUAAUUUAAUAUGGUGGUCCCACUUCGGGGCAGGGAACAGACAUGCAGUCACUUCAGUGACCUGGGCAAGAGGUUUUUUCAGUGGCCCUGGUUUCAGUUUGAUCCAAGGAGCCAACGACUAGGAAAUCAUCAUCAGCACAGGCUCAAGGAAGAGGUGAGAAAGGAAGACGCAAGGCAGCCAGGGGAGGGAACGAAGGCACAAGGAGGUCAAAGAAGAUGGCCUGGGCCUAAAGAGGGUGCCCAGCGUGCUCCUCUCAAGCUAGCAGCAGAGGUUGGGUGACCUCACCCGAGAGCGCCUCGGCUCUUUCCUGAGGUUUCCUGGUCACAUGUGAGAUUCAAAUGGCUGUGUCUCACAGGCCUGAGGUGGAAGGUGGGAUUUGUGACUACAGAACAUGAGAGGCUCCCUCAAGUACAAGUUUCUGGUCACCCCACAGAAUGAGCCACGGACAGACUCCUAUACCUGAGCAGAAACUACCUGAGAAGAAGCAAGGGAGAGAAAACGUACAGAAUUGUUUAUCUAGUUCUAACUCUGCCGGGGACUUUUUGUUUUGGUAGUAGAUAGGUUCAUAAAAUAUAUUUGAUAUUGAAACUGAAAGAUGGAGCCAGGUGGUGGUGGUGCACGCCUUUAAUCCCAGCACUCUGGAGGCAGAGGCAGAUGGAUCUCGGUGAGUUUGAGGUCAUCCUGGUCUACAGAGUGAGUUCAGGACAGCCAAAGAUACACAGAGAAACCCUGUCAAAACAACAACAACAAAGUGAGAGACCUACUGGGAAAUUCCACAGCUCCCACUCCGAGUGCUAAUUCUGACUGUGCAUCCGUUCACUACGUUGAACAGUGUUUGAAUCUGCUUAAUUUUGGUGUGUGAUGCUUUUAUUUAUUCCCAAGGUUUCUUUUCUAAUAAAGAAGAAAAAGAGGAAGAAGGAAAAGAAA